GACGAACGCUGGCGGCGUGCCUAAUACAUGCAAGUCGAACGAGAGCGCCCGGUUCUUGCACUGGUCAAUCUAGUGGCGAACGGGUGAGUAACACGUGUGUAACCUGCCCAUCAGAGGGGGAUAACAUUCGGAAACGGAUGCUAAAACCGCAUAGGUCUUCGAACCGCAGGGUGUGAAGAGGAAAAGAGGCGCAAGCUUCUGCUGAUGGAUGUACCCGCGGUGCAGUAGCUAGUUGGUGAGGUAACGGCUCACCAAGGCCGUGAUGCAGAGCCGACCGGAGGGGGUGAUCGGCCACAUUGGGACUGAGACACCGCCAAAGCUCCUAAGGGACGCCGCAGAAGGGAAUCGUCCGCAAUGGACGCAAGUAUGACGGAGUAACGCCGCGUGAGUGAAGAAGGUGUUCGGAUCGUAAAACCCUGUUGUUAGAGAAGAAUAAGUGCUAGAGUAACUGUUAGCGCCUUGACGGUAUCUAACCAGAAAGCCACGGCUAACUACGUG
rnacentral:rRNA from 1 species